GUCCUGGCAGUAAACGGUGCACGUUUGGUGUGGGAGGAUUCGACCCCUUCCGUGCCGGAGCUAACGCGUUAAACGUGUCGCCUGGGAAGUACGGUCGCAAGAUUAAAACUCAAAGAAAUUGACGGGGGCCCGCACAAGCGGUGGAGUAUGUGGCUUAAUUCGAUGCAACGCGAAGAACCUUACCAGGGUUUGACAUGCAUCUCUAAGGCGGUGAAAGCCGCCGAGUGUAGCAAUACACGAUUUGCACAGGUGCUGCAUGGCUGUCGU
rnacentral:rRNA from 1 species